rnacentral:rRNA from 1 species
AGAGCAAGGUACUACCCCAUAGGAGACCUUUUGAACUGUCAAUUGAAGAAGGGGUCGUCUUAUGUGUGGCAAAGCAUUUGGUCCGGCAUUCAAACUUUUAAGAAGGGCUAUAUUUGGAGAGUAGGCAAUGGAGACAAGAUUAAUAUAUGGGAUGAUUGAUGGAUCCCAAACAGUGCUUCCAAGAAAAUAUUAACAGUAAGGGGGAAUCAAGUACUUACUAAAGUGAAUGAGUUGAUUGACCCAACUACAGGAGAAUGGGAUGAGAUGUUAAUUCGGGAGAACGUUUGGCAUAUCAAUGCAGAGCAUAUAUUACAAAUUCCGUUGUUUCAUGUGGAGACGGAGGACUAUAUUGCAUGGCACCUCACGAAGAGCGGAGUAUAUUCAGUGUGA